CUGAAGACAACGUAUAAAUUAAAUAUUGGUAAACUUACAAUUAAGUAAUACGGUUUAGUUUUGAAUUUCUGUUCAACAACUGUAGAUCGAUUAGGUCGAUUACUAAUGAAAAAAUACAUUUUCAGAAUGGUCGUUUGAGUAAACUUCUUUUAAUACUUUUUUAGAUUCUCCGUGGAGCGAAAAUGUAUUGGUUCCACUGUAACGUAAGCGAUUUUGAAUUUUUUUUCGAAAAGUAAAAAAAAAAAUGUUUUUUGUUAACUUUUAGAUUUAAUUGUUGAACUGAGGAGAUCAAUC